GUAGGGAAUAUUGGGCAAUGGAGGCAACUCUGACCCAGCCAUGCCGCGUGCAGGAAGACGGCCCUCUGGGUUGUAAACUGCUUUUAUCCGGGAAUAAACCUGCCUUCGUGAAGGUAGCUGAAUGUACCGGAAGAAUAAGGAUCGGCUAACUCCGUGCCAGCAGCCGCGGUAAUACGGAGGAUCCAAGCGUUAUUCGGAUUUAUUGGGUUUAAAGGGUGCGUAGGCGGCCUGUUAAGUCAGGGGUGAAAGACGGUGGCUCAACCAUCGCAGUGCCCUUGAUACUGAUGGGCUUGAAUGGACUAUAGGUAGGCGGAAUGUGACAAGUAGCGGUGAAAUGCAUAGAUAUGUCACAGAACACCGAUUGCGAAGGCAGCUUACUAUGGUCCUAUUGACGCUGAGGCACGAAAGCGUGGGGAUCGAACAGGAUUAGAUACCCGGGUAGUCC
rnacentral:rRNA from 1 species